CCCUACCGGUUCGCUCUAGUCUUUUGCUUUCUUUUUAAUGACCCCGGCCUCGCUCUUGUUCACGGGACCACAAUGCUCCGCGCCUCUUGUCAUUUGGAGGCGCCCGAAGCUAUCAUCAUACAUAAUGGUGAAAAACUAGAAGCUUUCUUGCUAAGGCACAGAAGUCCCCUCUCACCACCCUUUCAACUUGUACUAGAAGUCCUAUAAGAAAAGGAAAUCAAAGACUUCAGCCAGAGGUACAUGAACCACAGAUGUUCAUCACCCUUCUCAGGACCACGUUCCUUUUUGGCAGCCCAGGUGGGAUGACCAGAAAUGAAGUAAGUAGAACAAGGCAACCCUGGUACUGCCCUGCUCAGGCUCCACAGCUCACUGUACACAUUCUGCUUAGCAUUUUAAACUAAAAGAGCUUCUGGUGAAAGCAAAUUACAUCCUGAAACUUUUCUCCAGAAUAGGUAAGUUCUCAUUUAGUCUGAAACCUAUGUUCCCAUAGUUUUGCCUUCUUAAUCUAUUUCCCAUCUUCAAAACCUAAACACACCUUAUCCAUCCUUAUAGACUCUGCCCAAGUUCCAGCUUCUGUGAAGAUCUGACCCAAAUUUGAAUCCAAAUGAAUUUUUCUUUCUGAUGCUUCUGUGACGUGAAUAUUUUAUUGCUUAGUAGUUAUUCCAUGAACAUGUAUCCUGCUCUAGAGGUUAUGGAAUAUCUAUAUCAUUUAUUGUUUUUGGAAUCUAAAGCAUUACCAGCUCACUUCUGGGCUAAUAGGAGGUGCUAAAAGUAGGCAAAAAGAGGGCCCUAUUCACAUAUACUUGCUCAAAGUGGAAAACCUGCUGGAACCCUCUAAGAUGAAUCUUUUUUCUUCUCCAUAUAAAUCUUUAAUGACAUUUUGGUUUUUAUUUCUGCCAUUAAUUUAAAAAGUGCUAGGAAAAUAAUUUCUUAUUUGCACAUGAAAUAAUGCAGUGCUUUUCAGAAUAAAAACACAUGAGUCAUUUUUGUGAUGAAUAAUUUGGUAUAUUUGGGUAUAUUCUAUUUCUGGAUAAAUAGUUCAAAUAGGAUUUUAGUAAUGCAUGUGUGAUACAUACUUAAAAACAAAAAUAAAGUAUCUUCUUGAGUGUUUGCCUUUGUUGUAAAUUCAGUCAUUCAAAUUGUUGUCUCUCAAGACCCAAAAAUGCUAGGGCAUUGCCAGCUUUGAGUUUAUCCUGAAAAAAUGAAAAGGAAAGAUUUUAAUUCAAAGCAUUAUUUAAUGAUUUUUAAUAAAUAUUUAUUAAAUAUCUUUAUCAGAUUUAAAAAAAUCAAUUCUCUAAUGUGAUAGAAAAAUAUUAUUAGCAGGUUAAACAGUAAGUCUCUUUGCCCAUGUUUUACCCUACUACUAUUUUUAAAAUUAUAGUCAUAUAUUUGUAUUGAAUAAUCUUUUAAAAGCAAAAAUAUAAAUGAUGUAUGGUAUAUUUGUGCUUUUAUGAUUUUCCCUGCUUCUCAAAUAUGUCGACAAUCAUGGACAAAACAGCUGGAGUUUUUGAAUUUCUGAACAUGGAAAUAAUAUGUAUUUAUGUUACAAGCAGUAUGUGGAAAAUGUGUAUUAGUGUUAUACUUACUUUUGUAAGAACAGUUUUUCUUUUUAGGGCCACACCUGUGGAAUAUGGAAGUUCUCAGGCUAGGGACUGAACUGGAGCUGCAGCUGCCAGCCUACACCACAGCCACAGCAACGCCAAAUCGAAGCUGCAUCUGUGGCCUAUGCCACAGCUUGCAGCAACACUGGAUCCUUAACCCACUGAGUGAGGCCGGGGUGGAACCUGCAUCCUCAUAGAUACUAGUUGGAUUCUUAACCCACUAAGCCCCAAUGGGAACUCCCUGCAAAUGCAUUUAAAUAAGAUAAUAAAUAUAGUAAUAAGCUUAAACAAAAAAUAGAAUUACAAUAUGACCCAACAAUUCCACUCCUAGUCAUAUAUAAAAGACUUAAAGGCGUUCCUGCUGUGGCAUAACAGGAUCAGUGACAUCUCUGGUGUGCUGGGACACAGGUUUGAUCCCUGGCUCAGCACAGUGCCUUAAGGAUCCAGCUUUGCUGCAGCUGCUGCUCAGAUCUGACCCCUGGCCCGGGAACUCCAUAUGUCCCGGGGCAC
rnacentral:lncRNA from 1 species